CAAAACUUCUGUUAAUUAAGGCCACUAAUUACGGCGCGUGAGAACAAAUGUUUUGAUGCUAAUGAUCUAUGAUUAAAGCAUUGUUUUUGGUAAUACCAGCGGGAAAAGCAAAUCCGGGAAUCAAAUACAUUGAUGCAAAAUCACCAUGUUCACAAUGCAUAUAUGUACUUUGUAUUGUACAAUAUAAAACACUAAAGCGGUAUCAAGUGUGGUAAUUAAAGCAUUAUUUAUAUACCUAACUUCUCAUUACGCGGUUUUCUUUUUUAAAUAAUUCGCCGAUUAUGUCUACAGUUUCUACAUGCGGUAGAAUUAACAGCAUUGGAAACUCCACCGUGUUUUUAAUAAUGCUGAAAUGUUUUGUUACUACUUGUUCAUGCUGUUUUUUUUUUAACUGAAUCCCAUUACAGGUAUACCAAUAUUUUACGCACAAAUUAAAAUGUGGCCUAAUUAUGUUUUAUUUUAAUACAGAAUUAUUCAAUAGUCGUGACAUGUCUGUUGUAAAUUAUAGAGUGAUAAUAAUGCAUUUCUGCAUUUACUGUGUCAGCUCGCUGUCAACCAUAAAAUCUUAUUAGUUAUUAACGUAUUGUAUAAAAGUUACACCGUCAUAAAGCCCAUUAUCUGUAUUCUAUAAUUCGAUUUGAGUUUCUUUAACAGAUAAAGGCAUAAUUGGAAUAAUGGGCAUAGGAAGCAUGGCAUAAAAAGUACAAGUCACAUACGUAUUAUCAUAUUAAGUAUAAGCUAUUUUACACUAAUGUAAGCCAUAGGUAUACGUUUGCAAAGUUAUUUCAGUUUUCCUUUUUUAAUAGAUAAUUAUACAAAUUACCUUCCGCUGCUUUCCUUAAAAUUAGCUAAAAAGAUGUACAUACAUACGAGCAUGGAAAUUAAAGAUAAGAUUGGCUUUUUUAACGUGCAGUUUUUACUUCAUUUCAAGUCAGUCAAUGGAUAAUUACCCGUAAAUUCAAAACUGGUUACAUAUUAGAUAAUAAAAGAAAAACAGGCAGAUUUGACAGCGGCUAGUUAAAAAUUCAGCCUAAUUAUUAUGACUUGAAAUGAUGAUGUAAUUAGAAGAACUUCGCCAGCGGGCCACAGUGGGUGGGGGGCCAAGAUGAUAAAUAAAAGAUGUA